rnacentral:lncRNA from 1 species
CUAAAAAAAAAAAAAAAAAAAAAAAAACCUGUGCUGUUGGGAGAUUUUACCUUUUUAUAAGAGAGUAACACUCAAAGUCAGGCGGUAGCACCCAGGUGGACAUCGCUGGCAAACUACUUACCCUCUUUGAUCAGAAACUGGGAAUAUUAUUGCACGUGAGAGGCACCCGAAUUUUGUGCAAUUACCUAUUCAAUGUGCCCUCCUUGUAGAAGGGCCUCUAUGCAUUUUCGCUUUUUUGUCUUAUUUUUAUUGUUUAGAAGGCCUGAAAAGAUGACAACAUCAUCCUACAAAUAUUUCUAGGUUUCUUCCUUUCCUCCAAAAGCUUCAGUCGCAUUGCAUUUCUUCCCUUAGUACCAUGGAGACAUAUUUCAAGGCCUCUUUAGGGGGAAGCGCGUUCUGUCAUUUGUUUCCUAACUUGACAUAAAACAUCGAAACACAGCCACGCUGCAAACCACCGACCAGCCUCACUCGCCGGGGAGGGGAGGACGCGGCAGCGCGGGGCGCGCACCGGGCCUUUUUUCGGAGGAGACCGUGGCGCCCUUCCACCUCCACCGUGCCCGGGGCCCUCGCCUCCCGGACGGUGUCUCCAGCAGCUCCAAGACGUCGGGAGCGGCGCGGGGCUCCAGGCGGCCGGGGCGCGCUGCGCUGAUUGGCAGAGCGGGCGCCGCCGUCCAGGAAACGGCUCGGAUUUCAGCGGGGGCGUGACCCGCCGGAGGAGGCGGCGGCGGCGGCCGCGAGAGCGCCUCGGAGAGCCGAGCGGGCGGGUGGCGGGUGCGGAGCGGCGGGGGAGCGAGUGCGCGCGGCCGCCACAAAGCUCGGGCGCCGCGGGGCUGCCUGCGCCGUACCUGGCCCGGCGCGGCGACUCCUCUCCGGGCUGGCGGGGCUCGGUCGCGAGACCCCGGGCCCCGAGGCCGCAGCUCUCCAGCGCACUGUGAACGUUCCCAACUUGCGAGCAAAGUUUGGAGGAGGAAGCGCCAAGCCCGAGUUCUUUCUUCCUCUCGCUCCCCAAACCCGAGGGCAGCCCGCGGCGUCAUGCCCGCGCGCCCCCGCAGCCGGGGGUGCAUGUGAAGCCUCGGAGUCUUUGCGCCGGCCAGGAUCCCAAGACCACUUUCUGGAGUCCCUCCCCGAGCUCGUCGCUUGCUCCAUCCCGACUCACUGCAGGCUCCAGGACAGCGUAGAUCGCGGAGGAGCGUUGCCAUUCAAGCGCCUGGGCCGCGUUGGGGAAUCGGCCGAGGGCCUUGCGUGGCGCUAGCUCCGACACUCAUGGCCAGGGAGGCAGAAGCAGGAGGCAGCCGGGGGGCGAGGAGUUUCCACCGCUCAGCUCGCCGCCUGCUUCCCUCCAAACUCUUCCCGAAGAUCUUCCGUCCUCUCGCCAGCUCAAUAAAAUCUAUUCUUAAAGACGAAC